AGUGGCGAACGGGUGAGUAUACAUCGGAACGUGCCCAGUCGUGGGGGAUAACUACUCGAAAGAGUAGCUAAUACCGCAUACGAUCUGAGGAUGAAAGCGGGGGACCUUCGGGCCUCGCGCGAUUGGAGCGGCCGAUGGCAGAUUAGGUAUUGGUGGGAUAAAAGCUUACCAAGCCGACAAUCUGUACUGGUCUGAAGACGACCACCACCUGGGGACUGGAAACCGGCCCAAACUCCUACGGGAGGCAGCAGUGGGGAAUUUUGGACAAUGGGCGAAAGCCUGAUUCCAGCAAUGCCGCGUUGCAGGAUGAAGGCCUUCGGGUUGUAAACUGCUUUUGUACGGAACGAAAAAGCUUCUCCUAAUACGAGAGGCCCAUGACGGUACCGUAAGAAUAAGCACCGGUAACUACGUGCCAGCAGCCGCGGUAAUACGUAGGUGCGAGCGUUAAUCGGAAUUACUGGGCGUAAAGCGUGCGCAGGCGGUUAUGUAAGACAGAUGUGAAAUCCCCGGGCUCAACCUGGGAACUGCAUUUGUGACUGCAUGGCUAGAGUACGGUAACAGGGGGGAUGGAAUUUCCCGCGUGNUAGCAGUUGAAAUUGG
rnacentral:rRNA from 1 species